UAAUUUCCCAAAUUGGAAACCCUAAACUUGCAAUCAGAAAUCCUAACCCUCCCCCACUCUCCUCAGCGCCGUCACCCUCAUCACAAGUGUACAGACUCACCCUCUCUCCCUCAGCUUCACCGCGGCACACACAUACACUCAGGACACCACACUCAUUCAGCCCACACCCCUUCUGUCACACACCCACGCCUAGUGAAUGGAGCCGCACCACGCCCAGCCCGCCUCGCCAUCGCUGCCAUUAUUAUCGCCGACAAAGAGGACGUCGUCGUCAGCCCCGCGAGAUGCCACCCGCGUCACUGCCGUCGAAGCUCCGCGACGCUGCCGCCAUUUCGCGAGGAAAGGAUGUUCGCAGAGGGAGCCAGGUGAGAAAGGGAGAGACGAGCACAAACCAGAUCAGGGGAGAAGGCGCCAUGUCCGGUAGCUGUCGUCGCGUCGCCGCCGUCGCCCUCACUGCGCCGCCGUCGCCCUCACUGCGCCGCCGUCGUCCUCGUCACAGAGCCAGCCGCCGCCACUUAUAGCAAAUUCAGAGAGAUGGAACUCGGGAAGAGAGGAGAUAGAGAGCUCGGAGGCUGAGCUGGGGUUCAACCACCGUGCCCAGCCGUGCUCGCGUCGUCGGCGCCAUUUUCGUCGAAACUGCCGCCGUUUGAGGGGCUAUGCUUGGCCGCCGUUGUGCUGCCCUGCUUCACUGUGGCUGAGCUCCGCUACUCCCUGCUCUUUGGGCUUGUGAUGCUGACGCGGGAAUUACUACAGGAAGAGAAGAACAUGAAGAGGAGAAACUGGGAUCGUUGUUGUCGCCAUCGCUGCUGAAGACCAGCCACCGCGCCGAGCUUUUACCGUCACCAUUCUGCCCGGUGUCGCCAGCACUGAAGUCGGCCGCUACCACCGUCGAGCCUUGUUGGAACUGGUGUUGCUUUUGGAGGUUUGGAAGGAAGGCUUGCUCGGAUUUGCUUCUGGUCAUGGUUCUCGCAGCUGCCGGAGCCUCUGCCACCAUCAGAGCUGCCAUUGAAGCUAUUGAUUUGGUUCCAAUUCCUCCAUUUUUGAGACCUGCUGCAUCUCUAUUUUCCCUGUUUAUUGCUAGAACUAUCAUAGGGGAUACUGUUGAUGUCAUCAGGAAACUGUUAGAGCUGCUGUUGUUGCUGAUGCGAGUUAAAACAAAGUUGGAGUCACGUUUAAUUUGGUGGAUUUCGACUAACUGAGUGACACAGGUUUGAAGACACAGUGUGAAGCUGGGGCGAUUGCUAGACCUUAUUUAUGAGUUAAGUCUUUGAUUUGAGUUGCUUUCAUAGAAUUUCCUCGCCCUUGUUACUUUAGUUUUUAUUUUACACAGAGGGAUAGGAUUUGUAUUUAAGUUUUAUUGGAAAUCUUUUGUAUGACAGAUAUUAUUAUUAGUAAUUAUGUGAUUAUUAUUACUUGGUGAUGUUUGCUAUAUGAUUUUAAUUAUCAAAAACAAAAUUUUCUGGUAUUUUUACUAAAACUGGAUCGCAAUAUCGAACUAGAGGUUCAAUAGUAAAUAGUUAAUAAAGGAAAGCAGGUUGGUAACGCCUUACUUUCGGUACGAUCAUGACGUUCCGGAAGUUGGGUCGUUACAAAGUGGGCCCCAGAAGUGGAUUUCUGUACUAUCUGCACUUAGUUACUUAUUUUCUAUAAUCCCUAGUAACUAGUUUAGUAUAAAUAACACUUUUUACUAUUGUAUUUACAUAUUUGGAUCACUUUUGGAAUCCUUUUUUGUGAGUUUUAUGCCAUUCAGGAGGUUGGCCAUUCGGCCAUGUCCAGACCUUUUUCUCUUAUGUAAUUUCCAACGGUGGAGUUUCUACACCUCAUAGAUUAAGGUGAAGAGCUCUGCUGUUCUUCAUGAAUUAAUGCAAGUACUAUUGUUUCUCUUUCAAUUCACAUUUACUUCUUCUCCAAGAUAUACUCUCGUACUUGAUUCAGUUAAGUCAGAAUAAAGGGGUGACCCGUGACAAUCACCCACUAUCUUCGUUACUCGCUUAGCCAAGAUCCGCGUACCUGACAACCACAAGCGGUCUACAUGAUGUUCAAUGUAGUCAUUGGACGACAGCUGGAGUCAUAGUUAUCAAACCCGGACCGGACUGGCCGGUUCAACCGGAAAACCGGUGAAUCGGACCUUAAACCGGUCCGGGUGUCUCUCCUAACCGUUUCUGCAAUUGGCCCGCAGAAAACCGGUUUGACUCGCCUAAAACCGGUCGAAUCGAUUCGAACCGGACAUCUUUGACCGGCGGGUCAAUGUCCGCACCUCCAUGAUGUACAAGCGGUGCCAUGGAUCAUGGUAAGAGACACCCUUUCAGUUUAAAUUCAAAAAUUAAUGCUGUGUGUGGUUCGAACCUGGGGCUUUCAAGAUAAAGGAGGGUGAAU